ACAAGCAGCAUGACUCUCAUCAGCAUCUUCAUCUGGACGCUGGCCUGCUGCUGCUUCACAGGAUCCAGCAGUCAGGUGACUGUGACUCAGCCUCCAGUGGUGACAUUUACUCCAGGAUCCACUGUCACUCUGUCCUGUAAAACCAACCCAGCAGUUCUCACAUAUGAUGAUGGAGAUGAGGGGCUUUACUGGUAUCAGCAGAAAUCUGGAGAAACCCCAAAGCUCUUAAUAAAAUGGGUGAAAACACGUCACUCAGGAACACCAGCUCGUUUCAGUGGCAGUGGAAGUGGGACUGACUUCACUUUGACCAUCAGUGGAGUUCAGACUGAAGAUGCAGCAGUUUAUCACUGUAAGAGUCGCCACGGGAACGAUGAUAAUGUUCUGUUCACACAGUGAUAGAGAGCCGUACAAAAACCUCCCUCAGUCAGAC